rnacentral:rRNA from 1 species
UACGUAGGGUGCAAGCGUUGUCCGGAAUUAUUGGGCGUAAAGAGCUCGUAGGCGGUUUGUUAAGUCCGCUGUGAAAUCCCCGAGCUCAACUUGGGAAUUGCAGUGGAUACUGGCAAGCUGGAGUAUGGUAGAGGAAGGUGGAAUUCCCGGUGUAGCAGUGAAAUGCGUAGAGAUCGGGAGGAACACCAGUGGCGAAGGCGGCCUUCUGGACCAAUACUGACGCUCAUGCACGAAAGCGUGGGGAGCAAACAGG